CCCCUACGGGAGGCAGCAGUAGGGAAUAUUGCUCAAUGGGGGAAACCCUGAAGCAGCAACGCCGCGUGGAGGAUGAAGGUUUUCGGAUUGUAAAGCUCUGUCUUCAGGGACGAUAAUGACGGUACCUGAGGAGGAAGCCACGGCUAACUACGUGCCAGCAGCCGCGGUAAUACGUAGGGGGCAAGCGUUAUCCGGAUUUACUGGGUGUAAAGGGGGCGCAGACGGCGAUGCAAGCCAGGAGUGAAAGCCCGGGGCCCAACCCCGGGACUGCUCUUGGAACUGCGUGGCUGGAGUGCAGGAGGGGG
rnacentral:rRNA from 1 species